rnacentral:rRNA from 1 species
GUGAGGAAUAUUGGGCAAUGGAGGCAACUCUGACCCAGCCAUGCCGCGUGAGUGAGAAGGUUUUCGAAUUGUAAAGCUCUUUCGGGUGUGAAGAUGAUGACGGUAACACCAGAAGAAGCCCCGGCAAACUUCGUGCCAGCAGCCGCGGUAAUACGAAGGGGGCGAGCGUUGUUCGGAAUUACUGGGCGUAAAGGGUGUGUAGGCGGUUAAGUAAGAUAGUGGUGAAAUGCCGGGGCUCAACCUCGGAAUUGCCAUUAUGACUAUUUAGCUAGAAUGAUGCAGAGGAUAGCGGAAUACCCAGUGUAGAGGUGAAAUUCGUAGAUAUUGGGUAGAACACCAGAGGCGAAGGCGGCUAUCUGGGCAUUGAUUGACGCUGAGGCACGAAAGCAUGGGGAUCAAACAGGAUUAGAAACCCCAGUAGUCC